GGCCCAGGCUGUGGAGAGGCCCUUUAGUGUUGGCAGCCUCAGAACCAGCUCCGUGUCUGGCUAGAGGGACACUGCCUUGUGGCAUUUCUUCAGCUUCUCCCCAGGGAGAAAAAGGACUCCUUGGAGCCUGUAGGUCUUGCUUCUGACCCUGGGAGUACUUAGUUCAGGCCUCCCCAGUGCUUACAAAUCUGGGGGGCUGCCAAUUUUUAACUAGACAUGUUGAUCAUUAACAGGGGAUAGAAAAGAGUUCAAACUCAGCCUCACUUGGGCACAUAGACCAGCUGGGCCCCAGGCUGCUGAGACAUGCUGGGUCCCCAAAUGUGGGCCUCUGUGAGGCAGGGGCUGAGCAGGGGCUUGUCUAGAAACGUGAGGGGCUGGGCCUCAGGGGAGGGGAAGAAGGUGGACAUCGCAGGCAUCUACCCCCCUGUGACUACCCCCUUCGCUGCCAACGCCGAGGUGGACUAUGGGAAAUUGGAGGAGAACCUGCACAAACUGGGCACCCUUCCCUUCCGAGGAUUUGUGGUCCAAGGCUCCACGGGCGAGUUCCCCUUCCUGACCAGCAGCGAGCGCCUGGAGGUGGUGAGCAGAGUUCGCCAGGUCGUGCCCAAGGACAAGCUCCUGUUAGCAGGAUCCGGCUGCGAGUCCACUCAAGCCACCGUGGAGAUGACUGUCAGCAUGGCGCAGGUUGGAGCUGACGCUGUCAUGGUGGUGACCCCGUUCUACUACCGUGGCCGUAUGAACAGCACUGCCCUCAUUCACCACUACACCAAGGUUGCUGACCUCUCUCCAAUUCCUGUGGUGCUGUACAGUGUCCCAGCCAACACAGGGCUGGACCUGCCUGUGGAUGCAGUGGUCACGCUUUCUCAGCACCCAAACAUCGUGGGCAUGAAGGACAGUGGUGGCGAUGUGACUAGAAUCGCGCUGAUUGUUCACAAGACCAGGAAGCAGGAUUUCCAGGUGUUGGCUGGAUCAGCUGGUUUCUUGUUGGCCAGCUACGCCUUGGGAGCUGUGGGCGGCGUGUGUGCCCUGGCCAAUGUCUUGGGGGCCCAGGUAUGCCAGCUGGAGCGACUCUGCCUCACGGGGCAAUGGGAGGCCGCCCAGAAGCUACAGCUCCGCCUCAUCGAGCCCAAUACUGCGGUGACCAGGCGCUUUGGAAUCCCAGGGUUGAAGAAAGCCAUGGACUGGUUUGGCUACUACGGAGGUCCCUGCCGAGGCCCCCUGCAGGGGCUGAGCUCUGCUGACGAGGAGGCCCUGCGAGUGGAUUUCAGCUGCAAUGGCUGGCUCUGAAGGCGGGCAGGACGUACCUGGCCCGAGCCCUCUGUCUACCCUGGCUCCCGCAGCCUGAAGAGGGGGAGGGACCAGCAGCUCACCCCCCAGUCCUCCAGGUGGCCUUUCACUAGGCAGCCCCGUGCAAUCUGCCCUGUUCACAUUUGCUAGUCUGUGUGUGACUUCUCACACUUAUGUCCUAGUGCCGAGUCCCUGGGAUUUGCAGAGUAGGAAGGAGCAAUCUCUUACUUGCCUCUGCACUGUGGAUGCUUUCCUCUGCCCCGAGGCUCAGAAACCUGGGAGCUGAGGGAAAGGGGCAGAAAGAGGAUUGAAUAAGACUGUACCUGUGAAUGGGCUGCACGUACACUUCAAAGAAUAAAUAGAGGCACACGGCUAUAAUUUCCGCAUAGUCUGCUGCUGAGGGAGAUUCAGUGUAAGGAUAAGAGCUGGGGUGUGUGUCCAGGUUCCAGGGAUCUUACUUGCCAAAACCCAACCCAGGCCUGAGGGCCAUGGCUUUUGGAGGAAGAGUCACCAUGAACCAACGAGGGAUCCCGUCUGAUGUACAAGAAAGGAGAGAGGCACAAAUAGGAGAGAGGCAGACUGGAUUAUCUGCCAUAACUCAGCCAGAUGAGGUAUUCAUCACUGGAUACCCCCAAAGACCCUUCUCACCCUCCUUCCACUCGCCACGAUAUUCCUCCCCACUGGAGUAGGUGAAGGACCCUUUCGUCAAGGUCAUGGUGACAGCUUACAGAAGAAAAGGCUGAAAACUGUAGGAAAUAAACAGGAGAACCAGGGUCACAGGAUGGCUGUAGGAAUGGACUGCGGAAAAAAA